UACGUAGGGGGCAAGCGUUGUCCGGAUUUAUUGGGCGUAAAGAGCGUGUAGGCGGCCAGAUAGGUCUGCUGUGAAAACUCGAGGCUUAACCUCGAGAUGUCGGUGGAAACCAUCUGGCUAGAGUCCGGAAGAGGAGAGUGGAAUUCCUGGUGUAGCGGUGAAAUGCGCAGAUAUCAGGAAGAAUAUCCGUGGCGAAGGCGGCUCUCUGGGACGGUACUGACGCUGAGACGCGAAAGCGUGGGGAGCGAACAGG
rnacentral:rRNA from 1 species